AUCGAACGCUGGCGGCAGGCCUAACACAUGCAAGUCGAGCGAGCGGCGGACGGGUGAGUAAUGUCUGGGAAACUGCCUGAUGGAGGGGGAUAACUACUGGAAACGGUAGCUAAUACCGCAUACCAUCAGAUGUGCCCAGGCGGGUUUGGCUAGUAGGUUGGGUAACGGCUCACCUAGGCGACGAUCCCUAGCUGGACUGCGAGGUUGACCAGCCACACUGGAACUGAGACACGGUCCAGACUCCGACGGGAGGCAGCAGUGGGGAAUAUUGCACAAUGGGCGCAAGCCUGAUGCAGCCAUGCCGCGUGUGUGAAGAAGGCCUUCGGGUUGUAAAGCACUUUCAGCGGGGAGGCGUUACCCGCAGAAGAAGCACCGGCUAACUCCGUGCCAACAGCCGCGGUAAUAC
rnacentral:rRNA from 1 species